AUUGAACGCUGGCGGCAGGCCUAACACAUGCAAGUCGAGCGAGCGGCGGACGGGUGAGUAAUGUAUGGGGAUCUGCCUGAUGGCGGGGGAUAACUACUGGAAACGGUAGCUAAUACCGCAUACCAUCAGAUGAACCCAUAUGGGAUUAGCUUGUCGGUGAGGUAACGGCUCACCUAGGCGACGAUCCCUAGCUGGUCUGAGAGGAUGAUCUGCCACACGGGGACUGAGACACGGCCCAGAUGCCUACGGGAGUCAGCAGUGGGGAAGAUUGCACAAUGGGCGCAAGCCUGAUGCAGCCAUGCCGCGGGUAUGACGAAGGCUCUCGGGUGGUAAAGUACUUUCAGUCGGGAGGCGUGACCGACAGAAGAAGCACCGGCUAACUCCGUGCCAGCAGCCGCGGUAAUAC
rnacentral:rRNA from 1 species